CACGUAGGCGGAUAUUUAAGUCAGGGGUGAAAUCCCAGAGCUCAACUCUGGAACUGCCUUUGAUACUGGGUAUCUUGAGUAUGGAAGAGGUAAGUGGAAUUCCGAGUGUAGAGGUGAAAUUCGUAGAUAUUCGGAGGACACCAGUGGCGAAGGCGGCUUACUGGUCCAUUACUGACGCUGAGGUGCGAAAGCGUGGGGAGCAAACA
rnacentral:rRNA from 1 species